rnacentral:rRNA from 1 species
UGGCUCAGGAUGAACGCUAGCGGCAGGCUUAACACAUGCAAGUCGAGGGGUAACAGGUUUCUUCGGAGACGCUGACGACCGGCGCACGGGUGAGUAACGCGUAUGGAACCUUCCUACAACAGGAGAAUAGCUCUCGGAAACGGGAAUUAAUGCUCCAUACAUUUUAUAUGUGGCAUCACGGAUAAAAUAAAGCUACGGCGGUUGUAGAUGGUCAUGCGUACCAUUAGUUAGUUGGUGAGGUAACGGCUCACCAAGGCAGCGAUGGUUAGGGGUCCUGAGAGGGUAGUCCCCCACACUGGUACUGAGACACGGACCAGACUCCUACGGGAGGCAGCAGUGAGGAAUAUUGGUCAAUGGGCGAUAGCCUGAACCAGCCAUGCCGCGUGCAGGAAGACGGCCCUAUGGGUUGUAAACUGCUUUUCUGCGGGAAGAAUACUCUAGAUUCGUUCUGGGGUUGACGGUACCGCAGGAAUAAGCAUCGGCUAACUCCGUGCCAGCAGCCGCGGUAAUACGGAGGAUGCAAGCGUUAUCCGGAUUCAUUGGGUUUAAAGGGUGCGCAGGCGGUGGAGCAAGUCAGUGGUGAAAGCCCGGGGCUCAACUCCGGGAUUGCCAUUGAAACUGUUUCACUUGAGUGCAGUCGAGGACGGCGGAAUGAGUUGUGUAGCGGUGAAAUGCAUAGAUAUAACUCAGAACACCGAUUGCGAAGGCAGCUGUCUAGGCUACAACUGACGCUGAGGCACGAAAGCGUGGGGAGCGAACAGGAUUAGAUACCCUGGUAGUCCACGCAGUAAACGAUGAUCACUCGUUGCUGGCUACGUAGUAGUCAGUGACUAAUGGAAACCAUUAAGUGAUCCACCUGGGGAGUA